UCACCUGGUGCAGGUUGCAGCCUGGAACAGCUUGUACCCCCGAUUGGUCAGGCCCAUCAUGUAUUCAAUCAUCCUGUACCAAAAUCCUACUGCCAGCGUCAUUCCCCAAUCUCUUUGAGCUCGACGGAGAUAGCGAGGUGAUUUCGUCUGCGGCGGCGCUCCUUCCACGCUGGAGCGAGGCCAAGCGCCCGGCGAAGAAUUGAGCAAAUUCUCCCUCUGCAAAGCUCACGGGCACCGAGUUCUUCGGAGAUCUUGUGCCAAGUUUGAAACGUCUGGCGGAAAUAUGCAGCGGCGGGGAGGAGGUAGAGGCAGUCGUUGGGUGUUCAACCAUGGUGCCGGAGAUAGCCACAGCGCUGAAUCAAAAGGCUCGGGCACACAGGCUACCUGCAGAGGCGUCCCCGACAAGUUGCUUGAUGCAGAUAGAUCCGUCAAUGGAGGCGAAAUGGGGGAAACGGCUGUCAUCUCUUGAUGGAAAACGAAGGCACCGGGUAGGGAAGCCACCCCCUGAGAGGGCAAUGGGCAUUGAAUUUUCACGCUUGAGUGCGCAGGAACAAACUUUGCGCGACUACCCAAUUAGAGGAAAUGGUGAUGUACAUGGUACCUAGGAGCAUUGGUCCAGACCGAUCGCUCUGUUAGAAACUUUGAAUUGUGUGUGUGAGACCUCGAUCUGCGUGACCAUUGCGACUUCUGGGCGAAGGUUCCGUGUAUAUAUGUGUCAUGCACUCAGCCUUCGGCGCCAUGGUUACUCUACAUGCUCUGAGAUUUUUAAUGAAAAAGAGAAACAAAGACGUUCCGUGAACCCCAGCUAUCUUUUCUAGGUUCGCUAAAAAUUAAUUCUUAUUUGAUCUUUGUGGUUGUCAUUGAGUUGAAAUAAGUUAGCAUUAGCGACUAAACUUGACAAACUCCUGAAGUAAGAAGUCCUGCUGAUUUGACUAGCCAGGCACACUUCAUGUUAUUAUCUGCAGAGAAUACAUCAUUUGACAUUGAUACUUUGGAUGAAAGGAGAACUACAACCCAGCGUUUCAUGUGGUGUGUUAGUCCAAAACCAGCCUGCUGAAUCCUAUUCGUUAAGUUCAUGGAUUGAUAGUAAAGACUGUACCUACACUGGAACCACCAUAAACCGUGUUCUUCACUGGUAAAAGUAUAUAUGCUACUUAUGUACAUUGCUUGUUGAAUUAUCAAUAUCAAUCAAUGAACAUUUAAAAGUAAAAACAUGUUGGUUAUUUCUUGACCUGUCGUUGCUUAAUUUAUCACAGGGAACCACAAUAAAAUGAUAGGGACUGUAGUAUCACCUGCUAGGAAAAUAUACGGGCCAUUGAUUUUUUUUUGUCCGGCGACCAGCCAAGAGCCAAAUAUUGGUUCCUCGGGCAUAUUCAUCAAAUUUCCUUUGGUGCAUUGUUGUUCAUUUCAGAUCUCUUACCACUACCACUCUGUU